rnacentral:piRNA from 1 species
UUCACUGUGAGCCUGCACCAAGGGAGGAGG